rnacentral:rRNA from 1 species
UACAGAGGUCCCAAGCGUUGUUCGGAUUCACUGGGCGUAAAGGGUGCGUAGGCGGUCGGGUAAGUCUGAUGUGAAAUCUCACAGCUUAACUGUGAAACUGCAUUGGAUACUAUUCGGCUUGAGAGUUGGAGGGGGGACUGGAAUUCUUGGUGUAGCAGUGAAAUGCGUAGAUACCGAGAGGAACACCAGUGGCGAAGGCGAGUCCCUGGACAACUCCUGACACUGAGGCACGAAAGCUAGGGGAGCAAACAGG